CCUACGGGAGGCAGCAGUGAGGAAUAUUGGUCAAUGGACGAGAGUCUGAACCAGCCAAGUAGCGUGAAGGAUGACUGCCCUAUGGGUUGUAAACUUCUUUUAUAUGGGAAUAAACUGUUCCACGUGUGGGAUUUUGUAUGUACCAUAUGAAUAAGGAUCGGCUAACUCCGUGCCAGCAGCCGCGGUAAUACGGAGGAUCCGAGCGUUAUCCGGAUUUAUUGGGUUUAAAGGGAGCGUAGGUGGAUUGUUAAGUCAGUUGUGAAAGUUUGCGGCUCAACCGUAAAAUUGCAGUUGAAACUGGUAGGCUUGAGUAUAGUAGAGGUGGGCGGAAUGCGUGGUGUAGCGGUGAAAUGCUUAGAUAUCACGAAGAACUCCGAUUGCGAAGGCAGCUUACUGGACUGCAACUGACACUGAGGCUCGAAAGUGUGGGUAUCAAACAGGAUUAGAUACCCCUGUAGUC
rnacentral:rRNA from 1 species